AACUUUGCGCAGUGGCAGUAUCGUAGCCAAUGAGGUUUAUCCGAGGCGCGAUUAUUGCUAAUUGAAAAUUAGAGGUGGCAAUGAGUCAACAAACUUGGAUAGUAAUAGAACAAGAGUGAAGUUGGGACUCUCUAAAGGGA